rnacentral:lncRNA from 1 species
AUGAGCCAGUCACAGCCUCUCUGGGAAAUCCACUCCAGUGCCUCUCCACCCUCACAGAGAAGAAUUUUUUCCCAAUAUCCAACCCACACCUCCCCUUUUCCACUUUGGAGACAUUGCCCUUUGUCCUGUCGCUCCAUGCCCUCAUUCCAAGUCCAUCUCUCUUGGAGCCCCUACAGACGCUGGAAUGGCUCUAACUCUCCCUGGAGCCUUCUUUUCUCCAGGCUGAGCAAUCCCAGCUCUCCUAGCUUGUUCUUACCCCUUGGACCAUUUCUAUGGCUUUCUCUGGACUUGCUCCAGCAACUCCAUGUCCUUCCCAUGACAAGGACCCCAGGGAUGGACACAGUGCUCCAUGUGGGAUUUCACCUGAGUGGGGCACAGGAGGACAAUGUUGCCCAUGCUGCCCGUGACACAGCCCAGGCCAUGAGUGGCAUUCCAGGGCUGCCAGCACACGUUGCCAGGUCAUAUCCAGCCUCUCAUCCUCCCAGAUUCCUCUCAUUUGGGCUGUUCUCCAUCCCAUCACCCCCAUCCUGCACUUAUUGCAGGAGUCGUCCUGAUCCAUGUGCCAACCCUGCCCUUGGCCUUGUUCACCCUCACGAGGUUCCCAUGGGGGCCUUGUCCCUGGAUAGGACAAUCUGGACAACCCCUCCUUGUCCAGGUCCCGCUGGGUGCCAUCCCAUCCUUCCUAAGUGUCACCAGUUCCUCUGGUGCAGCUCUGUGUCACCCCAGUGUCCCCUGCUGCACCACCCUGUCCCCUUCCCAACACCCCCAGAGCAUUGGGAACAUCCCCAGUGCUCCCGGAGCCCUCGGAGUCCUCACUGGUCCCCCGGUACAUCCCCUGUCUCCUACCUCCCGUUUUCCAAAGCAUCCCCAGCAUAUCCUAUGGUUCAUCCCUGGCUCCGUCCCACUGUUUUCCCCAUCUCUCCUCUCAGUCCAUCCCCCGUUUCGCCGCCCAAUUCCCCACUGCAUCUCCCGGUGUAUUCCCGGUGUAUCCCCGGUGUCCCCUCCCCGCUCCCCACGGCAUCC